CAUUUCCCACUUUUUUCCCCUUUUUUUUUUCUUCUUUUGUUGAUUCAGCGUGUUUCUCUUCCUUCUUUCUUUUCAUUUCCCACUUCUCUCUCCCCUCACGCCGCCACCCCUCGCCAUUGAUCUGCUCUGUCUUCCAUCACGCCGAAGUCACAAUCCCCAGCCACCACCGACUUGUAAAGCCCCUCACAGCCCAAUCGAUUUCAGGUUGUUCAGGGGGAAUAUUAUUGAAGUCCAGUUAGCUUGAAGAGCAUAGCUCAAAUCAAUACUCCCGAUGCAAAUUCUCUCUUGGUUCAGCCGUACGACAAAUCCAGCUUAAAGGCUAUAGAAAAGGCCAUAGUGGGCUCUGAUCUUGGUAUGACUCCAAACAACGAUGGAGAAGUGAUAAGAUUGACUCUCCCUCAACUUACAUCAUAAAGGAGGAAGGAAUUCUUAAAAAUAGUAGCUAAACUGGCUGAAGAAGGGAAGGUGGCAUUGAGGAACAUAAGAAGAGAUGCUUUCAAAGCCUGCAAAAAACUUGAGAAGGAGAAAAAGCUCUCUGAAGACAUUGCGAAGGACUUGUCAAGUGAUUUGUAGGUAACUUGAUGCUUUUGAAACUUCACAAACAUGGGAUCAACUGUAUGGAGCUUCCCCUCAUUUAGCAUACAUAGGGACCUGAUCUAGAUAGGCUUUCUUUUGUAUUAAAUAGUAAGAUCACAUGCUUUUUGUAUGGAGCUUCCCCUCAUUUGUAGGAAGACUAGUAUAGAUCUUGUCAUAAUUCUAGUUGUUUAAGUUUAAAACAAGGUUUAAUUUCAGGAUUUCUUUGUAUAUUCUAUAUUUUAAAGUUUGAACUUAUAUGAAUUUUUAUCUUUCAAUUGAUCAA